UACGGAGGAUCCGAGCGUUAUCCGGAUUUAUUGGGUUUAAAGGGUGCGUAGGCGGGCUAUUAAGUCAGUGGUGAAAUCCCGGGGCUCAACCUCGGAACUGCCAUUGAUACUAUUAGCCUUGAAUUAUGUUGAGGUUGGCGGAAUAUAACAUGUAGCGGUGAAAUGCUUAGAUAUGUUAUGGAACACCGAUUGCGAAGGCAGCUGGCUAAACAUAUAUUGACGCUGAUGCACGAAAGUGUGGGUAGCGAGCAGG
rnacentral:rRNA from 1 species